rnacentral:rRNA from 1 species
GACGAACGCUGGCGGCGUGCUUAACACAUGCAAGUCGAACGAAGAGCGAUGGAAGCUUGCUUCUAUCAAUCUUAGUGGCGAACGGGUGAGUAACGCGUAAUCAACCUGCCCUUCAGAGGGGGACAACAGUUGGAAACGACUGCUAAUACCGCAUACGAUCUAAUCUCGGCAUCGAGGAUAGAUGAAAGGUGGCCUCUACAUGUAAGCUAUCACUGAAGGAGGGGAUUGCGUCUGAUUAGCUAGUUGGAGGGGUAACGGCCCACCAAGGCGAUGAUCAGUAGCCGGUCUGAGAGGAUGAACGGCCACAUUGGGACUGAGACACGGCCCAGACUCCUACGGGAGGCAGCAGUGGGGAAUCUUCCGCAAUGGACGAAAGUCUGACGGAGCAACGCCGCGUGAGUGAUGACGGCCUUCGGGUUGUAAAGCUCUGUUAAUCGGGACGAAAGGCCUUCUUGCGAAUAGUUAGAAGGAUCGACGGUACCG